rnacentral:rRNA from 1 species
UACGUAGGGGGCUAGCGUUGUCCGGAAUCAUUGGGCGUAAAGCGCUCGCAGGUGGUUCGUUGCGUCGUGCGUGAAAGACCCCGGCUCAACUGGGGAGGGUCGUGCGAUACGGGCGAACUGGAGGCCAGUAGGGGGAUGCGGAAUUCCGGGUGUAGUGGUGGAAUGCGUAGAGAUCCGGAGGAACACCAGCGGCGAAGGCGGCAUCCUGGACUGGUCCUGACACUCAUGAGCGAAAGCGUGGGGAGCGAUCCGG